rnacentral:rRNA from 1 species
AUUGAACGCUGGCGGCAUGCUUUACACAUGCCAGUCGAACGGUAACAGGCCUUCGGGUGCUGACGAGUGGCGAACGGGUGAGUAAUGCAUCGGAACGUGCCCAGAGGUGGGGGAUAACGCAGCGAAAGCUGUGCUAAUACCGCAUGUGAUCUGAGGAUGAAAGCGGGGGACCAAGCAGCAAUGUUUGGCCUCGCGCCUCUGGAGCGGCCGAUGUCAGAUUAGGUAGUUGGUGGGGUAAAGGCCUACCAAGCCGACGAUCUGUAGCUGGUCUGAGAGGACGACCAGCCACACUGGGACUGAGACACGGCCCAGACUCCUACGGGAGGCAGCAGUGGGGAAUUUUGGACAAUGGGCGCAAGCCUGAUCCAGCAAUGCCGCGUGCGGGAAGAAGGCCUUCGGGUUGUAAACCGCUUUUGUACGGAACGAAAAGGCUCUGGCUAAUACCUGGGGCUGACGACGGUACCGUAAGAAUAAGCACCGGCUAACUACGUG